GACGAACGCUGGCGGCGUGCUUAACACAUGCAAGUCGAACGGGCCCGCUCUCUUUUUUGGGGGUGGGUUGAGUGGCGAACGGGUGAGUAUCACGUGAGUAACCUGCCCCCUGCUCCUGGAUAACUGCUUGAAAGGGCGGCUAAUACGGGGUGUGCCGGCUGGUCCGCAUGGGCCUGGUCGGGAUAGUUUCAUCUUCGGGUGUUUCGGUGGGGGAUGGGCUCGCGGCCUAUCAGCUUGUUGGUGGGGUGAUGGCCCACCAAGGCGGUGACGGGUAGCCGGCCUGAGAGGGUGGGCGGCCACACUGGGACUGAGACACGGCCCAGACUCCUGCGGGAGGCAGCAGUGGGGGGUAUUGCACAAUGGGCGGAAGCCUGAUGCAGCGACGUCGCGUGAGGGAUGGAGGCCUUCGGGUUGUGAAACUCUUUCUCCGGUGGUGAAGGCCCUGUCCGUUGCGGCGGGGUUGACGGUAGCCGGGUAUGAAGCGCCGGCUAACUACGUG
rnacentral:rRNA from 1 species